AAACCAACAGGGAUUGCCCCAGUAACGGCGAGUGAAGCGGCAACAGCUCAAAUUUGAAAUCUGGCCCUCGGGUCCGAGUUGUAAUUUGUAGAGGACGCUUUUGGCGCGGUGCCUUCCGAGUUCCCUGGAACGGGACGCCUUAGAGGGUGAGAGCCCCGUACGGUUGGACACCAAGCCUCUGUAAAGCUCCUUCGACGAGUCGAGUAGUUUGGGAAUGCUGCUCUAAAUGGGAGGUAAAUUUCUUCUAAAGCUAAAUAUUGGCCAGAGACCGAUAGCGCACAAGUAGAGUGAUCGAAAGAUGAAAAGCACUUUGAAAAGAGGGUUAAAUAGCACGUGAAAUUGUUGAAAGGGAAGCGUUUGCGACCAGACCUUUUCCUGGCGGAUCAUCCGGUGUUCUCACCGGUGCACUUCGCCAGGUCGAGGCCAGCAUCGGUUUCCGCAGGGGGACAAAAGCUCGGGGAACGUAGCUCCUCCGGGAGUGUUAUAGCCCUCUGCAUAAUACCCUUGCGGGGACCGAGGACCGCGCCUUCGGGCAAGGAUGCUGGCGUAAUGGUCGUCAACGAC
rnacentral:rRNA from 1 species